rnacentral:lncRNA from 1 species
CCAUAUUAUACAACAUUUGUAUGAGCCUUAAACAUUUAAAUAAAUCCAAACUUUCAUUACAACACAUAGAUACAUGCUCCCCACUUCUCUGAUCAUAUAAGGUCGAGAAGAGUACCUGGAUAUCGAAAUAAAGUAAAAUAGAGUAAGGGCUCAACACAACAAAACUAACGAGAAUAACAGCAAAUCAACAAUAAUCAACCUUUCUUCAAACCAUAUUUUAACCAAGAAAACAAGCAGAGAAUUUCUAAAGUUUUGCUAAAAAAAGAACGAGAGAUAAUCCAGCAAUGCAGAAAACUUUGUAUUUUUUUAGGGCUCAGAUCUCUGUGUGUUUUUUGAACUUUUUGUGCAGAGGAAAUGCUGAUGAUCUGUGUGUGUGAGUAAGGGAAUGUUUUCCUUUUAUAGAGUGCACAAAACGGCAUCAAAAAGGAAUAUUCUAACCUAAAAAUUCUAAAAAUCAGAAUAGUACAACAUCUUUUACAGUUGUUUGUCCUUUUUCUUAUCCAAUAUCAGCAUUUAUGCUAAGGAUGAGGACAACUGCGCAGAAUCUAGAACAUUCUAAUUUUUAACCUAUGUGAAAACCCAAUUUUACCCUCCCAUUUACUGAUUAUUGCAAUUUUGACCUAUUUUCUGACCUCAAUUCAAUCCCAACCCUCUUUAGGACCUUCAGCUAAGUGAUUAGGUUGCCUAGUGGUAUUGCCAUUCAAUUUCUGAAAUUAAACUAAAGUUUAAAUUGCUGCUUAGAGGUUCAAACCUAAAUUUAAAAUCAGUUAACCCUAAGCAAUCAAUACAUGUAAACUCAGAUUCAGACAACUAAUGAGAUUCAGCAUGCUUUGUGCAAAGAAACAUCAGAAAUCAAAAUUAACUUAUUUUAAAUAAGACUGGGCUGAUUCAGGCUAAAAGCUAAAUCAAUCCAGAUUUAGCUGAAAUAGGCAAUUAAUUAAGCAUUAACCCUAUCCUAAUUGAACUAAUGGACACUGAGAGCACACUUGCAGGAAAAAUAAAUAUGAAAGAACAAAGAACAAAAACAAAAGGGUUAUCGGAAAUUAAACGUGCUAAAACAUGGCAAAUUAAAUUCUUAAUGAUGAAGUUUAAUCAUGCAAUUAAUGAAGCUAAAUUACUUCAAACAAAUAAUCCAACCUAACUCCAAACAAGUAAAAUGUUCAAAUUAACUUAAACAAAUAACCAAUAAAACUAAUUUGAAAAAUUACAUACUCAAAGCACAUUCAAAUAAGCAGAUAAUCAGAAAUUAUCUCAAACAACCAAAGGAAAAAAUCAGAAACAAAACAAGAAAAAAAAAGAAAGAGGAAGGGUACUGUGAACAAAGAAGGGUAUGACCUAGCCAUGCUUCAGUGGUGACUUCGAAAUGGGUCGAAACUAAUGCAAAAUGAUUGCUCUUAUAAAACGCAAUCAAUUCACAUGAGUCUCGGCCCAAGACGAACAAAAUACUCCAAAAAAUGUGCAAGGUUGAACUAGCAUCUCUUCUGGACCCUUUGAUCUAACAUUCACUGAUUUUGGCAGGGUUUCUAGGGUUACUGGUAAGAGAUACGAGGUGAGGGGAGUGUGGUGGUUGUCUGGUUGGAAAUUGGACGGGUUUGAAAAGGUUUGGGUGAACUAGGGUUUGGUAUCAGAUCUAAAAUUGGAGAGAUUUGAGGGAAUUGGUUUGGGGAUUUGGAAAGGGGAGAUGACAAGGAUUGUCUGGUUAAAAUUUGGGGAGGUUUGGAGUGGCGCCGCCGCCGUGGGGCGAUUUCUGGCGACGGCGAUGGGCAGAGGUUCAAAGAGAUAAGAGAGAGGGUGAGAGAGACGAAGUGAGGGGGCCUUU